UACGGAGGUGGCAAGCGUUGUCCGGAUUUACUGGGCGUAAAGAGCGUGUAGGCGGCCCGAUAAGUCCGCUGUGAAAGUCCAGGGCUCAACCCUGGGAUGCCGGUGGAUACUGUCGGGCUCGAGUCCGGAAGAGGAGUGUGGAAUUCCUGGUGUAGCGGUGAAAUGCGUAGAUAUCGUUUGGAACGCCAAUGGUGAAAACAGACAGCUGGGAGUGUGCUGACGCUGAGACACGAAAGCCAGGGGAGCGAACGGG
rnacentral:rRNA from 1 species